UACAGAGGGGGGCAAGCGUUAUUCGGAAUUAUUGGGCGUAAAGGGCGCGUAGGCGGCUUGGCAAGUGGAUGGUGAAAUCCCUCGGCUUAACCGAGGAACUGCCGUCCAAACUGCUUCGCUUGAGACCGGGAGAGGUGAGUGGAAUUCCCAGUGUAGCGGUGAAAUGCGUAGAUAUUGGGAGGAACACCAGUGGCGAAGGCGGCUCACUGGACCGGUACUGACGCUGAUGCGCGAAAGCGUGGGGAGCAAACGGG
rnacentral:rRNA from 1 species